rnacentral:rRNA from 1 species
GACGAACGCUGGCGGCGUGCCUAAUACAUGCAAGUAGAACGCUGAAGGAGGAGCUUGCUUCUCUGGAUGAGUUGCGAACGGGUGAGUAACGCGUAGGUAACCUGCCUGGUAGCGGGGGAUAACUAUUGGAAACGAUAGCUAAUACCGCAUAAUAGUAGAUGUUGCAUGACAUUUGCUUAAAAGGUGCAAUUGCAUCACUACCAGAUGGACCUGCGUUGUAUUAGCUAGUUGGUGGGGUAACGGCUCACCAAGGCGACGAUACAUAGCCGACCUGAGAGGGUGAUCGGCCACACUGGGACUGAGACACGGCCCAGACUCCUACGGGAGGAAGCAGUAGGGAAUCUUCGGCAAUGGACGGAAGUCUGACCGAGCAACGCCGCGUGAGUGAAGAAGGUUUUCGGAUCGUAAAGCUCGGUUGUAAGAGAAGAACGAGUGUGAGAGUGGAAAGUUCACACUGUGACGGUAGCUUACCAGAAAGGGACGGCUAACUACGUG